rnacentral:rRNA from 1 species
UACGUAGGGUGCAAGCGUUGUCCGGAAUUAUUGGGCGUAAAGAGCUCGUAGGCGGUCUGUCGCGUCGGCUGUGAAAACCCGGGGCUCAACCCCGGGCCUGCAGUCGAUACGGGCAGACUAGAGUGUGGUAGGGGAGACUGGAAUUCCUGGUGUAGCGGUGAAAUGCGCAGAUAUCAGGAGGAACACCGGUGGCGAAGGCGGGUCUCUGGGCCAACAUUGACACUGAGACCCGAAAGCGUGGGGAUCAAACAGG